GACGAACGCUGGCGGCGUGCCUAAUACAUGCAAGUCGAACGAAGCUGUUUUAACUGGUGCUUGCACCGACUUAAACAACUGAGUGGCGAACGGGUGAGUAACACGUGGGUAACCUGCCCCAAAGCGGGGGAUAACAUUUGGAAACAGAUGCUAAUACCGCAUAACCACAGAAACCACAUGGUUUCUGUGUCAAAGAUGGUUUCGGCUAUCACUUUGGGAUGGACCCGCGGCGUAUUAGCUAGUUGGUAAGGUAAUGGCUUACCAAGGCAACGAGACGUAGACGAACUGAGAGGUUGAUCGGCAACAUUGGGACUGAGGCACGGCCCAAACGCCUACGGGAGGCAGCAGUAGGGAAUCUUCCACAAUGGACGAAAGUCUGAUGGAGCAACGCCGCGUGAGUGAAUAAGGUUUUCGGAUCGUAAAACUCUGUUGUCAGAGAAGAACGUGUGCGAGAGUAACUGCUCGUGCAGUGACGGUAUCUGGCCAGAAAGCCACGGCUAACUACGUGCCAGCAGCCGCCGUAA
rnacentral:rRNA from 1 species